UACGUAGGUGGCAAGCGUUGUCCGGAUUUAUUGGGCGUAAAGCGAGUGCAGGCGGUUCAAUAAGUCUGAUGUGAAAGCCUUCGGCUCAACCGGAGAAUUGCAUCAGAAACUGUUAAACUUGAGUGCAGAAGAGGAGAGUGGAACUCCAUGUGUAGCGGUGGAAUGCGUAGAUAUAUGGAAGAACACCAGUGGCGAAGGCGGCUCUCUGGUCUGCAACUGACGCUGAGGCUCGAAAGCAUGGGUAGCGAACAGG
rnacentral:rRNA from 1 species